rnacentral:rRNA from 1 species
UACGUAGGGUGCAAGCGUUGUCCGGAAUUAUUGGGCGUAAAGAGCUCGUAGGCGGUCUGUCGCGUCGGCUGUGAAAACUCGGGGCUCAACCCCGAGCCUGCAGUCGAUACGGGCAGACUAGAGUCCGGCAGGGGAGACUGGAAUUCCUGGUGUAGCGGUGAAAUGCGCAGAUAUCAGGAGGAACACCGGUGGCGAAGGCGGGUCUCUGGGCCGAUACUGACGCUGAGGAGCGAAAGCGUGGGGAGCGAACAGG